GGAGUGAAGGAGCUGCUUGAUCUACAGCAGAGUCCAACCUGUCGACUGGAGACUCUGAGCUGGUGGGGGUCUUCGUUGGACUGAGUGUGAAGAGGACAUUGUGUGUGGACGGAGGCUGAGCUGUGUCCUGAGGAUCCAGAGGCUGAAGCAGCAGCAGCUUGUGUGUAGUCUCCAAUCUACACAACCCCUAAUCUGCAUGUGUUUGUGAGAUGAAGCCGGAGCACCUGGAGAAAACACGUGGAGAACAUGCAGACUCCACACAGGAAGACCCAUCUGAAACGGAUUCAAACCAGCAACCUUCCUGCCCAGAUUGUGUUUAUUCACAUGAAGAAUGUGUUUAUUGAAAUGACACAACACAAGCAGAAUAUAUAAACCCUCUAUAAAGACUCACAUUCAGUUUGUCUUUAUUAUUUUCCACCUUUGUCCCUCAGUCUGUCUCCAUGUGUGUAGAACCACAUUCUGUGUAGAUGUUUGUUUAUGAUCUUAAAGUUCCUGGAUUCACGUCAUAAAUUGAUUUAGUUCAACACAAAGUUAAACACAUUGAAAUCACUUUGAGUUUAAAAUCAGACUUUUGUCUUUGACACAAAAGAUCAAAACUCUGGACUUAAAAAUGGGACGUUUUCAUUUCUGCAUCAGGUGCAGAGAGGUGGUGGCUUUUCUACUUUUGACCCACAGGUGGCGCUGCAGUAUAACAGCAGCACAUCCCAGUCAAAGCCGUUAUAUUCAGUCUAUGAGUCAAACACAUGGAUCAUUUCCUCUUGACAAACCAGAUGUAACGAGAAGAAAAACAUCUCAGAGAGAAAAGUUCUGUUUCUACUUGUCUCUGCUUUAAUGCUCAAUAAACAUCCUUCCACCGAC